GAUGAACGCUGGCGGCGUGCCUAAUACAUGCAAGUCGAGCGAACGGACGAGAAGCUUGCUUCUCUGAUGUUAGCGGCGGACGGGUGAGUAACACGUGGAUAACCUACCUAUAAGACUGGGAUGACUUCGGGAAACCGGAGCUAAUACCGGAUAAUAUUUUGAACCGCAUGGUUCAAAAGUGAAAGACGGUCUUGCUGUCACUUAUAGAUGGAUCCGCGCUGCAUUAGCUAGUUGGUAAGGUAACGGCUUACCAAGGCAACGAUGCAUAGCCGACCUGAGAGGGUGAUCGGCCACACUGGAACUGAGACACGGUCCAGACUCCUACGGGAGGCAGCAGUAGGGAAUCUUCCGCAAUGGGCGAAAGCCUGACGGAAGCACGCCGCGUGAGUGAUGAAGGUCUUCGGAUCGUAAAACUCUGUUAUUAGGAAGAACAUAUGUGUAAGUAACUGUGCACAUCUUGACNGUACCCUAUCAGAAAGCCACGGCUAACUACGUGCCAGCAGCCCGCGGUAUACGUAGGUGGGCAGCGUUUAUCGGAAUUUAUUNGGCGUUAAGCGCGCGUAGGCGGUUUUUUAGUCUGAUGUGAAAGCCCACGGCUCAUUUGUGGAGGGUCAUUGGAAACUGGAAAACUUGAGUGCAGAAGAGGAAAGUGGAAUUCCAUGUGUAGCGGUGAAAUGCGCAGAGAUAUGGAGGAACACCAGUGGCGAAGGCGACUUUCUGGUCUGUAACUGACGCUGAUGUGCGAAAGCGUGGGGAUCAAACAGGAUUAGAUACCCUGGUAGUCCACGCCGUAAACGAUGAGUGCUAAGUGUUAGGGGGUUUCCGCCCCUUAGUGCUGCAGCUAACGCAUUAAGCACUCCGCCUGGGGAGUACGACCGCAAGGUUGAAACUCAAAGGAAUUGACGGGGACCCGCACAAGCGGUGGAGCAUGUGGUUUAAUUCGAAGCAACGCGAAGAACCUUACCAAAUCUUGACAUCCUUUGACAACUCUAGAGAUAGAGCUUUCCCCUUCGGGGGACAAAGUGACAGGUGGUGCAUGGUUGUCGUCAGCUCGUGUCGUGAGAUGUUGGGUUAAGUCCCGCAACGAGCGCAACCCUUAAGCUUAGUUGCCAUCAUUAAGUUGGGCACUCUAAGUUGACUGCCGGUGACAAACCGGAGGAAGGUGGGGAUGACGUCAAAUCAUCAUGCCCCUUAUGAUUUGGGCUACACACGUGCUACAAUGGACAAUACAAAGGGCAGCGAAACCGUGAGGUCAAGCAAAUCCCAUAAAGUUGUUCUCAGUUCGGAUUGUAGUCUGCAACUCGACUACAUGAAGCUGGAAUCGCUAGUAAUCGUAGAUCAGCAUGCUACGGUGAAUACGUUCCCGGGUCU
rnacentral:rRNA from 1 species